GGUGGUUUCAGCUAUUUUAAGUCUACAAGUAGGCAGUAUUUUACAGCUGGUGUGGUUUCAAGAACACCACAGUAGGCAAAGAAAGCUUUUUUAACCUUAAGGGUCAUAGAAAAAAUACUAGUCCAUGGUUUCGGAGGUCCCCGUGAAGAGCUCCAAAUCAAUGAAUAAAAGGUUAAAAAUAAUGGCGUGAUAUUAUACAUAUUUACAUGUUUGGCAUCUAACAGGUGUUUUAUAGAUACCUGAGCUGGGUGUUGCUAACUCAACAAAACAAAACAUUCGCUGAUUCUCAUAUUAGUCAAGACUACACUUCACAGCAUUUAAUUUUCUUAUUCUCCUCUAAUGAGGGUGGCUGAAUCAAAUGAAAGUGCAAACCUAGAAGAGAAAGCAUCACCCUGCUGGAUAAGCAAAUCCAAUUCAUAUUUAGCAAACUCAUUUGGGGGCUUUCUAGCCAGUUUUUUUUAAAGAUCACAGCUGAGGUGUUUUAGAAGGCUGCAAGGUCAGCUGCGCUGCAAAAAUUUUGCAUGGUCUCUCUCAGUUAAUUUGUGCUUUCAGACCUCAGAUUUAUGUUUUAAGCUUAAACAAAGCUCUUACAUACACAUAAGCUUAAUAAACCUGGUUCAAACUUUUUCAUUCAUUGCAACAGAAAGCGAAGAAGAGAGAAAAAGGAGACUUGGAGCGCAGCAGAGAAGAUCAUGCCUGAAAACAAUCCACUGCUUUGAAUGCCAACGAGGCAAAGUUCAGCAGGUCAGAUAACCCUCAGCAGAAAGAAGGGAAACACAGCGGUAAGACUACACGCUUUCAUUGCCUCCGCUGAGCAAAAUUAAAACCACAUUACACCGAACGUUACCGGCGACACUGAGCAGAGGAACUGUGAAAGCCCUGCAUUUGCUCACGUUGCCUCAGCAGGCAGGGAGGAAGGGGUUUACGGAGCAGCUCCCCAGCGGGCAUUCGAACUUUGGCUGGUCUGGGACAGCCCUAGGACAGGGAUGGCAACACCAGGACAGGCACGGCGCUGGGAAAGACGCCAGGAGCCUCGCCCGAGCCCGGCCUCUCCGGGGUGCGUUAAGGCUGCUCUUAGGGGCAGGAUGCGAGCAAUAGGAGUGCUGGGCGAGGAGGAGUUACCCGCCGUCCCCAACAACGUGGGACAAAGAAACCUUGGAGAUCCUCACUAGAACAUAAGGUGUGAUUAGUGUUACUGCACUGUCAGAAAUAGCAAUUCCUACAUGGAAAAACAUGGAAGUGUUGAGCAGCAGCAUUGCAAAACAGGACUAGCCGAAGCAGCAGCUUAGAUCUGCUGGGGCCAGCCGUGCUCAGGGCCUCAGGACCGCCAGCACAGGAUGAUGCCACUGCUACAGAAACUGAAGUGGGAUCCCGCAGCAAUUCAGCUUCAAAAGUCACAGGCCACCUCUCUAGGCAAGUACUUGUCAUUAAAUUAUUAUCAGUAUUUUGUAUAGCAGCAUCUGUUACGCACAUUUGAAAUCGAAGCAGAAGUCCAUAUAACAAGCAGGAAAAGUUUGAGAACACAAGUGUGGUCUGCAAGGUAUUAAUAUCCCAUAUGAGGAAAGCUGGAAGGUAAACUUAAAGUAGAAGAAUGAAGUUACUCAUAAAUGAGAGCUGGGAAGUAAGCUGACAAAGGCCUGUACUGUCCACCUUUUUUAAAGAUCAAUGCAAACCUUUAUUUUCUAUAAAUAAUUUAAUAAAUACUUUUGUUUUACAAUGAUACAAUAAAUGACAAAUUCAUAGCAAAUGAGUCACAAAGAAUUUAGAAUCAGUAUACUUUAAUAAGGUAUCAGUGUCAAAAUACAUUUCCUUAUCAAAUUAAAGUUCCCAUAUAGUUAUAAUAUUGUCAAUAAGAAUUCAGCAAUAUAGAUUAUGAAAUAAUUAUGAUAAAAGUAUGAUUAAUAUUAAGAUGGAAUAUUUUUCCAGAGUGUUUUAGUAAACUGUUAGGCUAUAUAACAUUUUUAAUGCUGAAAAUACACAAAUAAGAAACAGAAAAGAAGCAGUAUUCAAGUGUCUUUAGUCUUUGAUGCCUUUAAGUCCUUGCCACUGAAAAAUGUCAAAUCUGGCUUGCCAACUUUCAUUCAUUACAUGUUGACUCUUACACUAUCCUUUUCCCAUAGGAAUAAAUUCACUUUAUGAGUAGCUUAUUUUUGGUAAAAAGAAAAGAAGAGCACAAAACAAAACAACUCUUGAAAGAUCUGCCUGCAAUAAGGACUAUUGGAAUUUUUAUUUGACACUAUAUACCACUACUAACAUAAGAUCUUUCACUUCCAAAAGAGUGCACAGUAUGUAUGGUUAAGACUCACUUAACACAGCAAUUUCUGAAGUGCUCUAUGAACCCAAGGCUCCCUCUCUGCAAGUGUCAGUGCAUGUAGAAAGCAAAAUCAUAAAACAGGCUUCAGUGGAACUGAAUAUCUAAAACCAAUUAUCUUUGUUCUCAGCUUCUGGGCCAGAUUUUAUACCUUCUGUACAUUGCCACUGUUCCAUUUUUUUCUGUGAAGCCACAACGAUUUAUACCAGUGGAGGAAACCAGAUGAAUUUCAAUAAAUAUCUCAAUAUGUAGCUAUUUCAAAGGCAGAACUGCCCACCUACUUCUAUUAGUUUUAAUAUUUUUGCUGCUUAAAUACACUCCAAUUUUCAAACAUCAACAUUUGAAAGCAUUCAUAGCCUUAUUUCUAAAGAUGUGCAUGACAGUACAUCAUAGUUGAAAAAGAGUCCUGAAAACAUCUGGCUGAGUUCAGUAACAUCUCAGCUCUUGAUUAAAACAUAAGGUAAGUUAAAAUGAGAAAAACCUGUCAGUAAUUCAUCUCACUACACCAUUCUUAAUUCUUUUUGUCCACUUACAAUUAAGUUAGCAUAAUAUGCCAGAAAAUACUACUUCUAGUUUCAAUAUUGAAAUUAUCUUGCUAGCCAGCCAUACACCAUGAUAAAAGCUAGUAGUAUUCAGAGGUGUUAGUUCUGGCCAAUGGUCAGAUUCCUGAAGUGUCAGAAACAUUCCAAGAAAUACUACGGGUUCUUAACUUUGUUGCAUUCUAGAUAUAGCAAAAGUACCAAGAGCUGAUUAACAACUGACCCAAAGAGAAAUAAUAAUAAUAAAAAAACCCAAAACACAAAAUCUGUUUUGUGUAAAAAAUGAAGGGAACGACAAAGAAAAAAAACAAAACAAAACCAAAA